UGGGGAAUUUUGGACAAUGGGCGCAAGCCUGAUCCAGCCAUGCCGCGUGCAGGAUGAAGGCCUUCGGGCUGUAAACUGCUUUUGUACGGAACGAAAAGACUCCUUCUAAUAAAGGGGGUCCAUGACGGUACCGUAAGAAUAAGCACCGGCUAACUACGUGCCAGCAGCCGCGGUAAUACGUAGGGUGCGAGCGUUAAUCGGAAUUACUGGGCGUAAAGCGUGCGCAGGCGGUUAUAUAAGACAGGUGUGAAAUCCCCGGGCUCAACCUGGGACCUGCAUUUGUGACUGUAUAGCUAGAGUACGGUAGAGGGGGAUGGAAUUCCGCGUGUAGCAGUGAAAUGCGUAGAUAUGCGGAGGAACACCGAUGGCGAAGGCAAUCCCCUGGACCUGUACUGACGCUCAUGCACGAAAGCGUGGGGAGCAAACA
rnacentral:rRNA from 1 species